rnacentral:antisense_RNA from 1 species
AUAAGAUGCUUUCCUCAGCAGAAAGGAGGGAAAAAAAACAACUGGAACUCAAAGCUUGAAAUUCUGUGGCAAAACGAGAUGUCCAGGAUUGGAGGUUGAAAAGAUUUCACUACAGUGUUCUGCAAUAGUUGGAGCAGAUAACUUUCAGUGUAGCCACAGCCAUGGACUCCAGAUUUCCAGAUUUUCAAGAACUGGACCUGGAACCCGAAAGAGCUUGUCAGGAUGCGGCAAGAACACUGGAGGUAGAUUUUUUUUUUAUUUUUGAAUUUUGGGACUGUUGACCUUGCUGUGAGAAAAGAGACAACGACUGAGCAAGCACUACCACCAGCAUUGUUACUGGGAAUUAGAAGACCUGAGUUUCUGUCCAGACCCUCAGUGCAAACUGAGGACGCUCCAUCCAAAGUGAAUCAUGAUAGCAGACUUCUUGAAAGCAGGGUCCUUGUUUAGUGCAUCUUUGCCCACAUAAACCACAACAUGUCAAGAUGCAUUUAUUAGGAAGGAGGAGUUUAGAGAGCAGGCUAUCAGAAUAACCACUCACCUACAGACCUGGUACCUGGAUUUUUGCCCGAGAUGAUUCCUACCACCUUACUACUGAAGAAGACACCCAUUCCAGUGGACCACUGUGACCCAGGAGGCAUUCAGCCAUCAUGAUGUGGCCUUUACCUCCACUCCUGUCCUGUUCUACCCAGAUUCAGCACAGCCCUUUAUAGUGAAGUCAGAGUCCUCAAGCCAAAUAGCUAAAGCUGUUUUAUCACAACAAAGGCCUAGUUUGUUCCAUGAGUGUGCAUUUCAUUUCUUCAGUUAAAGCCUUCAGAGACACACAAUAAAUUUGGACCAGGGGAUUUUUUAGUUAUUAAUGCUCUCUGAAGAAAGGCAACAUCUUUUUGAGAGCAGCAUUGGACCACACCCCACAAUCUCAAAUGGUUGAAAUUCGUGAACAUCUAGGAUCCCGUGAAGGUCACUGGACCCUGUUUUUUCUACUUCAAAUCCUGUAGUAGCCUACUGAAUGAGAAAACAUAUUCUGACCCAUUGGAAUCAAAUCAGAGGCACAGUGAACUCCUCAUAGCAUCUUCUUUGGAAUUACUCAGGAACCAGAACUUUUUACACAAAUGUAAGAAAUUCUACCAAGGAGUCCCCUUACCUAACAGCAUCUCACAAGGCUGCAUCAGAUUCCAGAAAAGGCUUCUCUUGAUACAUCAAGGUAGAACCUCUAUGCAUUUUGUGACCGACUUAUUCUUAGAUCAUUGGUUUUCCAAAGGCUUUGUGGCCAUGAAGCCCUUUGAGUGAAAACUGCAGAAGCCCAGAGUAAAAGUGAAGCUGCUCUGGAUGAAGUAGUGAAGCAAGAGUAGGGGCCUGAAGCCUGCUACGACUAUCUUCCUUUACCACCGUGGUGACACCUAAGGGGACUUCCUUACAACACCUUGAACUCUUCCAAACACAGUUUGAAAACCACUGCCCCAGACAGCAAUAUGUUUGACCUGAAUGGCAUUCCAAUCUUUUCUGUACCUCCACUCAGCACAGUUCGUGUUCAGUAGAUGCUGAACAUUCUUAGAAAUACUGUGCGCGAACUUAGAAAAGUGCAAGAAGACAGGCAUGUCUUUGACCCCAGGAAUGAUCAUGGGCUGAAGAUGGUGUCAAGUGAACCUAGAUUAACAGCCCUCCACUCCAGAUGGAUAUCCAGUGAUUCCUAGAAUGGGAUAUAGCCAGAGAACAAUUCUAUGCACCCUACACUGACAGACUCCCUUAAGCAACACCAGAUGCUCUACUGGUACUUGAAGUACAUGACUUUGAAGUCUUGACCCUCCAUGAAUACCUGAAUUACCAGCAAGUGGGUUUUGAAGCUGGUGCCUCAUCAAGGCCAUAUUAGAGCAACUUGUACAUUUGACCUCUUGUUAUCAGCCAUGGUACUCUACUUCGUGAGCAAGAGAUAACUAUGAAAGCCGAAUUCAAAUACUGGCAACAUUUCCUAAAGGGGCUCAAUAUCUAUCAUUCAUCUUCUUUUCCAAACUACACAUCACUGUAUGACUCAACCAGUAGCAGUUAUAUUGCCCCUUGGUUUUUAUUCAGUUUAACUACUGUUUCCAGGGUAAAUGAGCUAAUAACCAUUUUUUA